CCUACGGGUGGCAGCAGUGGGGAAUAAUGGGCAAUGGGCGCAAGCCUGACCCAGCAACGCCGCGUGAAGGAAGAAGGCUUUCGGGUUGGAAACUUCUUUUCACAGGGACGAAGCAAGUGACGGUACCGGAGGAAUAAGCAACGGCUAACUACGUGCCAGCAGCCGCGGUAAUACGUAGGUGGCAAGCGUUAUCCGGAUUUACUGGGUGGAAAGGGCGUGUAGGCGGGAAAGCAAGUCAGAUGUGAAAACCAUGGGCUCAACCUGUGGCCUGCAUUUGAAACUGUUUUUCUUGAGUACUGGUGAGGCAGCCGGAAUUCCUAGUGUAGCGGUGACAUGCGUAGCUCUUAGGCGGAACUCCAGUGGCGAAGGCGGUCUGCUCGACUGCACCUGACGCUGCGGCGCGAAAGCGUGGGGAUCAAACAGGAUUAGAUACCCCAGUAGUC
rnacentral:rRNA from 1 species